CCUACGGGUGGCAGCAGUGGGGAAUAUUGCACAAUGGGGGAAACCCUGAUGCAGCGACGCCGCGUGAGUGAAGAAGUAUUUCGUUAUGUAAAGCUCUAUCAGCAGGGAAGAACAUGACGGUACCUGAAUAAGAAGCCCCGGCUAACUACGGUCCAGCAGCCGCCGGAAUACGGAGGGGGCAAGCGUUAUCCGGAUUUACUGGGGGUAAAGGGAGCGGAGACGGCAGUGCAAGUCUGGAGUGAAAGGCGGGGGCUCAACCCCCGGACUGCUCUGGAAACUGGACGGCUGGAGUGCAGGAGAGGUAAGUGGAAUUCCUGGUGUAGCGGUGAAAUGCGUAGAGAUUAGGAGGAACACCAGUGGCGAAGGCGGCUUACUGGACUGUAACUGACGUUGAGGCUCGAAAGCGUGGGGAGCAAACAGGAUUAGAUACCCGGGUAGUC
rnacentral:rRNA from 1 species